rnacentral:lncRNA from 1 species
CAACAAACGCUUCGCUGACCAAAAAAAAAAAGGUUCAGAAUAGUAUCAACAUGACUCAGUUAUAUCAAAAUCUUUCAACCAGGUUCCCCCCCAACUAAUUACUUCCUAGUAGAUUUGAUAUACAAGUAGACUUCCAGGCAAAGAAAAGGAAACAUAACUUCCUUUGUCAUUGCAGAUUAUACAAAAUAUUAAGAAUGAUACCGGAGAACGUGACUAUUCAAUUUACAGCACACCAGUUAAAGCUCCUCUGAAAAUUAAACCCAAGUACCUUUAAAGAUAAACUGCCACUCGCUCUAAAUCAAUAGCAAAUCAUCAUAGUUCUCCUCCCUGCCUAGUACACUAUUCUCCUUACAAUCGAUCUUUCCUUCUCCAUAUUACUGUUUUGGUCAUGCAUGCCUAAUAUUUGAUUUGAUGAAGAGGAUCUACUUGGUCUUAAAGCAAGAUCACGCUCUUCAAUUGAAGACGGACGCCUUCCAAGAAAAAGCAACUCCGAGUCACAUCAACCUGUGCAUGAAUCGAACAGUAGACCAAUCCUAAACUAUUUAUAACCUGCCAG